rnacentral:rRNA from 1 species
UACGGGGGGGGCAAGCGUUGUUCGGAAUUACUGGGCGUAAAGGGCUCGUAGGCGGCCAACUAAGUCAGACGUGAAAUCCCUCGGCUUAACCGGGGAACUGCGUCUGAUACUGGUUGGCUUGAAUCCGGGAGAGGGAUGUGGAAUUCCAGGUGUAGCGGUGGAAAUGCGUAGAUAUCUGGAGGAACACCGGUGGCGAAGGCGGCAUCCUGGACCGGUAUUGACGCUGAGGAGCGAAAGCCAGGGGAGCAAACGGG